AUUGGGUUGGCCAAAAAGUUUGGGUUUUCAGUACCAGUACUGAAAAACUCGAAUGAACUUUUGGCCAUCCCACU
rnacentral:miRNA from 1 species